rnacentral:tRNA from 1 species
CCCUCCUUAGCUCAAAUGGAUAGAGCUGCUGUGUUCUAAGCAGUAGGUUGCACGUUCGAGUCGUGCAGGAGGGGCCA